UAUAUGCCCCACUUACUUACCUAUUUUAACUCGAUGUGGGAAACUAUAUUUGCUACCCCUUCAAUGUCCAUCACUUCUAUGUUAACUUUGUUUUCAUGAUAAAAUACUAAAAAGUAGAUAUAUCUCGACUCUAUUUCUUUAUGUUCCGCAUUGUCAAAAAGAGAGGAAUGUUGGUGCUUGGUGGAAAUAAAGUGGUUUUCAAGAUCAAUAGAAUUUAAAUAUUGAUAAAAAUGAAAAAUUAAAAGAAUGACUUAGGAUAUGAGGGUGCCAACUAGUCUAGUUAGGUAACUUUCUUGUGUUGAUACGGGAAAUAUGGGUUUUAUACAUCCGUACUCCUAUAUUUGACCAAGCUUCACUAAUCCUACUUCUCUAAAAAAAAAAAUGACAACAAAAAGGAAAAAGAGGAAUAGAAAUUAAGCAUGGUUGCUGGGAAUAGAAAUUAAGCACAUAGUCCUGGACAAGAGAGGCAUGUAAACCGCAUCAUUUCUU
rnacentral:lncRNA from 1 species